UGCCUCAUUUUCGAUGUGGUUCCGCUUCCGAGGUCGUGCACUUCUUAUCCUAUUCCUUCUUCGACGCUACUCUAGUUAAUCAACUCGGCUGCUGCCACUGCCACACUUCUCUUGCUGCCUUGUCCAUCACUAACAUCGAUUCCUUUGCCAAACCUGCCGCCAGAUUGUUCCUUCUUCGACUCCUUUGAUUGUUCUACCUCUUCUUUGGGACGCAUACGCUUGCCUUCCGCCGCCCUCCGCUUGAUGGUCGUUCCCCCUCACGGUGUUGUUGAUGAUACCCAACCUGCGCCCUCGUUCAUCCACCAAAGCUCCCCUCUUUCUCUUUACUGUUAAGUAAAAUAUGGAGUUGGUAUUACAACUGCAUUUAUAGCGGCUGGUAAACCGAAGUGUAUAUAAUCUUUCAGUCGCCUAAUGAAAAAUAAGUCGUCUUGUACAUAUUGCAACAUGGUAUCAUAGCAAUUAGGGUACUAUUAGAUUAGGUGAGCUUUGCUCUUUGCUUAGUGAGGAAAGGUGAUAGAAGUACUGAAUUGAAACAUAUCCCAAAGGAUAAACACUUUGAGAAAUGGCAAAAACUAGAGAAAAGUCCUUGAGUUGUGAAGUAUGAUAGUUGAAUAAGUUACUAGGUGCUCAAAAUUAAUAUAUUUGGAAGUUGAGGAUGUUUACAAUCUUGUAACAAGAGAACUUAUGAAGCAUAGUAGAAACAUAGAGGUUAAUGACUUCAUUUCUUAUAUCCAUAGUAG